AUGUCUGACCUCAGGAUUCUUUUCCAAAGAACUCUGGUAGCUUUGUUGUGCCUGCUCCUGUCCUUUCCGCCACCAGCCACAGCCUCUCCCCUCCAUGCACCAGCUUUGAACGGGAGCUGUGUCGCGUAUGAGAGGAUCGCGCUUCUCUCCAUCAAGGAGAGCCUCUGGGAGCCCAGCAUCAACCUCUCGUCAUGGCAAGGUGAAGAAUGCUGCAACUGGAAAGGCGUCAGGUGCAGCUACAAAACCGGCCACGUCGUCAAGCUCACUCUUCGUGGAAGUGCUCAAGACUGCCUCAGAUACUCUACGUAUAGAGGUGCGAUAAGCCACUCCUUGGUUACUUUGCAGCAACUAAGGUAUCUAGACUUGAGCUGCAAUAACUUCAACUGGACUGAGAUACCGGAGUUCAUUGGUUCUUUUCCAAGCCUGAGAUAUCUUAACCUUUCAUACAACUUGUUCUAUGGGAGAAUACCCCCGCAGAUUGGGAAUCUCUCGAAGCUUGUAUACCUUGAUCUUAAUCCCUCAAACAACAACAACCCAUUGUACUCAAGUGAUCUUCAGUGGUUAUCGCACUUGUCGUUACUGAAGCACCUCGACUUGAGCUAUAUUAACCUUACCACUGUAGUGGACUGGGUCCAUGAAAUUAACAUGCUUCCGAAUCUUAUCAAGCUUUACCUACAGCACACUGGCCUUAGAAGCACAGUUGCUGUCCUUGGCCAAUCCAAUCUUACGGCACUCGAGGCGCUUGACAUCUCAUGGAACAACUUUAACACCCCAAUUGCUUCCAACUGGUUUUGGAACUCAACGUCCCUCAGUUAUCUGAACUUGUAUGCUUGUCCCUUUUAUGGCCCUAUUCCGGAAUACAUUGGCAGCAUGGCCUCUCUUGAAGAAGUUAAUUUCGGGGGAAAUAAUCUAAUGUCCACGAUGAUACCAUCAAAUUUCAAAAAUUUAUGCAACCUGAAGAUACUGAAUCUAGAAGACAGCCAAACCUCAGGGGAUAUUAAGGAGUUGAUGGAGCGGUUACCAAACUGUACUUCAAACAAGAUGCAAGUGUUGUACUUGGCUAAAAAUUUGUUAGGUGGGGCCAUGCCCAGUAGUCCAGGACCCCUUAAAAACCUGACCUGCUUGGCCCUGCGUCACAAUAAACUUACAGGACCUAUUCCGAAAUGGAUAUGGUCACUCACCGAAUUGCUUGUUUUGGACCUAGAAGUAAACGAGCUAAAUGGUGUAGUCACUGAAGAUCACCUAAAAAGCCUCAGAAAUUUGAAGAUCUUAAUUUUGGGCAAUACACUUCUUCAGAUCAAGGUCAGUCCGAAUUGGGUUCCUCCAUUCAAACUACAAGCAGUUCUGUUAGAUGGUCUGCAGAUAGGGCCAGCAUUCCCGUCAUGGCUUAGAUCGCAGACAGGCCUUGGGCUCCUUAUGAUUGCAAAUGCAAGCAUAACUACAAUCCCAAAUUGGGUUUGGGUUGCAUUUUCAAGGGCAGAACUUGUGGAUCUGUCCAAUAAUCAAAUAACCGGCACACUACCAGCAACAUUGGAAUUUAUGGCAGCAGAAGUAAUGGCUCUGUCCAACAACAGAUUUACCAGUACAAUUCCAAAAUUUCCAAGAAAUAUUAAAGGCAUGUACUUAUCAGUGAACUCCUUAUCAGGGACAUUGCCAUCAGAUUUUGGAGCCCCGUUAUUGCAGGAUCUUAGUCUUUAUAGCAAUUCAAUAUCAGGCCCCAUUCCAUCUUCAUUGUGCUCAUUGACACAGCUGACUCUGCUAGACCUAUCAGGCAACAAGCUGACAGGAGAAGUUCCAAAUUGCAAAGAGGAUUCUAACUCAACCAUGCGUAACCUUAAUAUGGUAAAUUUGAAUACCAACAACCUGUCAGGAGAGUUCCCAGUAGUCUUUCAAAGCUGCCCCGACCUUGUUUUUGUUGAUCUUUCAUAUAACAAAUUCUCCGGAGACCUACCUGUCUGGAUGGGCGUGAAGUUACCGUACUUAGCUCUAUUACGUCUGCGGUACAAUAUGUUUAGUGGCCAAAUUCCCAUUGAAAUUGGAAAGAUUCAAGAGCUACAGUAUAUAGAUCUUGCACACAACAACUUCUCAGGAAGCAUGCCGGAAUCAUUAGUUAACUUGAGUGCAAUGGCCCGCACUUCUCAAUAUAGUUAUGUUCUUAACAAUGCCAUCGAUCACAGACAAGGGCCUCAUCUGUACAACGGAGCAUUUGUUUAUAUCUUUUUGGGGGAAGGAGUUCCUGUUCAUACUAAAGGUCAACAACUUGAAUUUUUUUAUGAAAUCUCAGAUACGGUGGUUCUUGACUUGUCAUGUAACAGUUUAACCGGAGUGAUCCCUCCAGAGAUUGGUUCUCUUGCUGGAUUAAGAAGUCUGAACUUUUCGUGGAACAGCUAA
rnacentral:rRNA from 1 species